UACGGAAGGCCAGCAGUGGGGAAUAUUGCACAAUGGGCGCAAGCCUGAUGCAGCCAUGCCGCGUGUAUGAAGAAGGCCUUCGGGUUGUAAAGUACUUUCAGUCGUGAGGAAGGUGUUAAGGUUAAUAACCUUAGCAAUUGACGUUAGCGACAGAAGAAGCACCGGCUAACUCCGUGCCAGCAGCCGCGGUAAUACGGAGGGUGCGAGCGUUAAUCGGAAUUACUGGGCGUAAAGGGCACGCAGGCGGUUAAUUAAGUUGGAUGUGAAAUCCCCGGGCUUAACCUGGGAAUGGCAUUCAAGACUGGUUAGCUAGAGUCUUGUAGAGGGGGUAGAAUUCCAUGUGUAGCGGUGAAAUGCGUAGAGAUGUGGAGGAAUACCGGUGGCGAAGGCGGCCCCUGGACAAAGACUGACGCUCAUGUGCGAAAGCGUGGGGAGCAAACAGGAUUAGAUACC
rnacentral:rRNA from 1 species